CCGCUUAUUCAUUUACUGCGUUUCUAGCUCUAACUUUGAGGCUGGCUAUUGCCCCCGGCGCGGCGGGGAGCGGGGCUGGGGCAGGCAGCCCUCGGAGGGAGGCGAGCCGCUCUCCGCACGCUGCGAGGCUGCCGGCCCCGCGGCUGUUUAACCGCGCCGGCAGCGCGGGCAGGAGCGCAGCCCGGUCCCCGGGGGGACACACAGAGGGAGGGGGGGACACGGGGACGCUGCUGUCGCCUGGCAACCCUGCAUCCCUGCCCGAGCAUCCCUCCCCCAGCGCCCUGAUUGGGCGGGGACGGGGACUCGGGGUGAUGAGGGGGGCGACCCUCCGAGGAUGCUGCGCUCUGGCGCUGAGGCUUGUCGCAUCCUCAAAAAGCCGUGAGCGGGCAGGGGGGACUGAGAGCAGACGGGAGAGCAGAGGCAGUGCUGGGUGUUGUAUCACCAUCCUCCUGCCUUCUCUUAUCCAGCCGGCUUGACAAAUCUGCUUCUGCUCUACAUCUCCUAGAAAAAGAAUGUAUUAAUCUCCUAGAAAAAGAAUGUACUACAUCCCCUAGAAAAAGAAUGUAUUAAUCGCCUAGAAAAAGAAUGUACUGCAUCCCCUAGAAAAAUAACGCAUUUGUGUAUCUAUAGAUACAAAAUAUAUAAAUAUAUGUUUAUAUGUAGAUGUAUAUAACUAAACUUAUGCAUAUACGAUGCAUGUUAUCUGUAUAUAUUCUAACUCUCCCAUAUGGGAAGACAGAAGGGAAAUAGUUAGUGAGAAAGAUCACUCCAGAGUGCAGCAAAACUGGAUGCAAAAGGGAAAAAGAAAGGUACUUUUUGUGUUAUGUAUCUUUGAAAAUCAAAGGUUUACAUCACCCGUAGUGUUAACAGGAGGUCGUGGUCCUUAAAGAGAGAAUUAAACACCAUGAGAUGCAUGAGCUGUGACAGUCCGUGAGGGUGGAUGCGUUGACUUCAGAGAGGGUGAGUUUAAGCUGUUCUGCAUGGAGCACUGCUGCUAUCACAGGUGGCUUCAUUGCUCAUCCUCUGCUCUGGGGGACAGUGAGCAGCUGCUGGUUGAGUGGCAUGGAGAGGGUGUCCAUAAAAUCCCAAUACCUCCCUUUCCAUUGGGACAGUGUGAAUUUCUCACCUCUAACUCUUCAGCAGGGGGAAAGCCAUCAUCCGCUUCUCCCUGAAUGCUUCCCCUCACCUUCGGAUUUGCCCCCAGCCCUGCUCCCCACUUACGUACCAUCAGUGCUCGGGUAAAGCAAGGGGAGAGGCACUGCAGUCAGGAGCUGCAAUCCAGCAACUCACAUGGGGCCACUAUUGUUACAGCAGCCGUGGUUCUGUCUUGCAGGCUGAUUGCCAGGAAAGACUAGUGGAAGGAAGGAUCUGAUUCUGCAUUGCCUUGUACACAGCAGUCAUGUUUCAAAAAAAUCCUGACACAUUCAGCACCCUAAAGAAAUAGGAUUUCGCCAAUGGUUUCGCUUCUCUGUACUGCUCAGUGGCUCUGCCUUGUAUAGCACACAUUAGUAUCACCCUGCAUUAUGGACAGAAUGGUCCAUUUCUUCUCCAGAUAAACAUUUAAGUGUGUUGCAAACUUUUUUUUUUAAUUAUUAUUAUUAUUUCAUUUAGUUUUACUUCAUUCCCAAGGUAAGGGAUUGUACUUUGGGUUUCAAUUUCACAGAAGUGACAUAGGUAUUAAAACCUGAAAGUGUUUGUGACUUCUAGGUGCCAGAUUUUUCAUGUUUAGGAGGUUUACACUGUCUGAAUAGCUUAAUUAUACAUUGAAACAAUGGCUGUUGCUCAUCUGUGCUCCAAGUUACUGGGUGUUAUUGUGUUCUAGAAUUUGGCUGAGAGAACAAUAUAGUUUUCUUAGAUUAGUUCUCAUACGUGACUAAAUAUGUUUGAACGAAAUUAUGUGUAGAGACAAACUACAUGGAAAAGUCCAUGCCAGUAACUAAAUUUUGACAAAGGUGUAAGCCAUUAUAAUCAGAGCUUCAUGAUAGGAAAAGCUCAGUGGUUGGACUACUACUUGGUAUUAGUCCUGGAGCCCUAACAAACUCCAAUAACUUACUAGUAAAUAAUGAAGAUAGUUUGGUUUAAAAUACCAGUUAACAUCAGCAAGGUAAUGAUCAUGCAUUAUCCAAAUCUUAUUGAUACCUUCACUCUGCAAAGCCAAUGUCAUGAGUCCUGUGGGAUGGCAGGGGUGUAGGUGACUUGCUCUUUUAUUGGUCUCUGUCUCUUACAGGUUCCUUGCCAAAUGUAUCUUAUUUUCAAACUUCAUAAGAAUAUCUCUAUGUGGGUUUUUACUCCCUCCUUCCCACAUAUGGGAAGGCUGAGAUCACAUGCAGAUAGUUGCUAGAGAUGGUGGACUUGCUCAACUUCCCAUUCUUCCUAUUAAAGUGGGCUGCCAGUGUUGGCUCUUAAAUAAUCAUGAGGGCUAAGCUGCCCAUCAUCUAUCUGCUGAUCGCACGUUCACAACAGUAAUUCCAUUUACAUGUCAUAAUUUUCUAUGUAAAGACUUAAUGAACGAAAAAUCCUUAAUUUUCCAGGUAGUAAAUGGCAACCGACACCAAACCCUCUCACUGUAGUAUGUCCUCAUUUCACCUGGUUUUAACUUUACAGCAUGUUUUGAAAGAUGUGGACUUUGGACUAUUGUGGAGAGAGGGUUUCAGAAGUGAAAAAAAGAGUGAGAAGAUCGCUAAAGUACAGAUCCUAGAUGGAUUAUGGCCUGGUAGUUUCCUUACAGCGUGGAAGAAGCACCUCAUGUGGUUAUCAGAAACUGGCCUAUGAAUAGAAAUAGCUUCCUAAGAACACUAUUGUGAGAUCACACCAAAUGCCCAUCCAGGACAGUCUUUUCUGUCUAGUCAUGGUCACUAGCAGAUGCUUAGAAAAACAUGGUGACUGCACAAGGCAUAAUUUUUUUCUCUUGAUAUACCAGUUAUAGCUUCCAGUAACCUGUGGUUUAGGGACCUUAAUCUUCUCCUGUUCUCAUUAUCCUGUUUGCCUUUACAAAGCCCUGCUGCAGGGAAUUCCCUGCCAUGUGUGAAAAGCACUUCCAUUUUCAGCCUGCCUCAGCAAGAAUCCUGAUUCUGAGCAAUCAUGAAUACUUUUUCCUUCCUCAUCCUCUUCACACUUCUCAUGGCUUUAGACAUUUGCCAUAUCCCUCCUCUGCAUGAAAGCUGAAAAAUUCUAGGCUGCUUUGUUUUCCUUUCUCAUGGUUUGCUUCUGAACACAUUUUUCCCCUUCUUUAUUCUCUGUUUAGCUUCACAGUACCUUUUUCUCAGAUCAGCAGAACACUGUUUGGAGCCCUCAAGGUGUGGGAUUAAUACUUAUUAUUACAGUGUCUUAAUGAUAUUGGUUUUCUUUAUUUUUUUGCUGUCCCUUCCUAAUAAUUUCUAAUAUUUUCUUUGUAAUUUUGACAGCUGAGCUGGCAUUUUCAGAGAAAUAUCUUAAGCAGUGAUAGUUACAUUAGAGUCCAUUGUAUCAUACACAUAACUCCAGUUAUUUUUUGUCUCAUCUGCAACAUUUCACAUUCAUUGACAGUGACUUUCAUCUGUAAUUUUGUUGACCAAUUAGUCAAUAUUGUGAGAUCCUUUUGUGCCUUGUAGCUGUUAGUUUUACUUUUCAGCAUUACGAAUCUCCCUCUCCAUGAGUAACAGUCUCAUGUCUCAUUAGCCAAUCAUUUUCCAGAUCUUUCCAGACUGUGUUAAGCAAUAUAAAUCCGAGAACAGACAUUUGCAGAACUCACUAGGGGAGUCUUCCUUCAUAACAAAACCUGAACAUAAAUCCUUACGCUUUGCUUCUUCCUUCUACUUCCUCUUGUCUUCACUAAGUUUCCUUGAGAAUCUUUUGUGAGGAUAUUAGUCAAAAAUGUUGUAAAGAUACAAAUAGAGGUCACCUGUAUCUGUUUGCUUACAGGUUCCAAAGUGUUCUUGCAACCAUAUGCGGCACAGCUUUCUCCAUGUCAAGAACCUUUCCCAAUAGAUUUGUACACAAAUUAGUUAACACUGUUCCUUGCCAUAGUUUUCAUAGCCAUUGUCUGGUAUGACAGACAGAUUUAUUCAACUGUAAUUCUCCAGAUCACCCCCAAAAAAUGCUUUAAACAACACCUGACAUAGUCUAUUUCUUUGGAAACAGGGCUGUUUCAAGGAAUACGUUAAAGACUAGAGGCAGUAGGUCAGCAAUUUCAUAUCUGAAUCCCCUGAAUCCCUUUACCACUUGGGUCUGGCAAUUUUUUAUUGUUUGUUUUAUAAUUUUUUAUGUAUUGCUGCUCUUGACAGCUGAAUUUGAGUGUUUCUCAGACUUGUCACCUGUAAAGAAAGGCUAUGGUGAACACUGGUGCAAAAAAAUAAUCAUUUGUUUUCUGUUACAGCCUUAGUAUCCUUUGGUGCUUUUUCUAUACCUGGACUAUUAUUGACCCCUUAACUCUGGCAACUUUCUCCUGAUGUAGUAAAAAAAAGAGAAAAGCUAUUUGCCUUGAUGCUUUUUUUACAUAUUGCACCUCAAAACCUUUUUCUGUUUAGUGUAUGACACUGAAUGAAGAUUUUUAUAUAUUGUAAAGCAAUUGCCUGAAUCCUAUCUCUAAGGCCAAUAGGCAAUCCCCUGCAGAGGAGGGAAAAAUGUCAAUAAUCUAUGCUGAAGAUGAGCUUCCCAGCUAUUCAUGAAGCAGGGAUAUUUGUGGCUGGUGCCUGAAGCAUCUAAGAACAAUUUAGUGGAAUCUCAAAGUACACUUCCAGUUACCUCUUCCACUGGUCCAGUGACACAGAUUUACUUCAUCAAUUCUCAUCAGGCUGUCAAGGCUUACUGUAGAAGGCCUUGCAGAGAAAUAAAUGGGAAAUACUUUGCUGACCCUCCUGCUCAAAAGAAUUUUCAUGCUUUGGACUGGCUAUUUCAUUUCUGACUCCCUCACCUUUCUGGUCUUUCUUCUAAACAUUAAGAAUGUCAGAGAUAUUACCCUAGCAGUAAAAAAGACCUUUUUUCAUGUGUUUCUGUUUCAUAUUUCCUGAAUUGCUUUUAUGAGAGCAGAAAAGGAGAAGGGGAAGUGAAAUGUCUACCUUAUUACACCAGCCUGAUCAAUAUAUGUCUUUUUUGCACUACAGUAGAAAGAUGAAGUUGGCUUAGUUGGUUUCAUAGCUUGCAACUAACUUUCUUUACUUCAGGCUAGGCAGACCUGAAGGAAACCUGUGCAUGCUAAUGGAUAAAAAGUCUUGAAGAUGUCUGCAGAGAAAAGGUGCUUCCCUCUUGUUCCAACAUAGCAGGUCCUGUUGACAUAGCUCAACCAGAGAAAGAGGAAAACUGGCCCCAAGUGUCUGCAAAAGCUUGGCAGAUUUAUUAAAAGUACCUAGUAACAACUACUUAUAUAUAACAUAGAAACAUACAUUCCUAAGUACUUGAGACAACCCUAUGCUCAGAGGUGACUACCAGAAUAACUUUACUUUUCCUAACUUUCUAGUCACAGACAAAGUAACAAGAAAAUAGUCAAACAUAUAAACACAUAUGAGAAAAAGGCAACUGAAAAAAGGCAUUUCAGAAAAUGCCUUUCAGAAAAAAGGCAUUAUGCUGAUGCUCCCAUGGGAGACCAGGAUAUCUGCAGGUGGAAAUAUGUCAAAGAGAUGACACUGCUUUAGGAGGAAAGCAUGUGGAGGGACAAAGCUGGAGUCAGAGACGCAGCUGAUAUAAUCCUGAGGCUACAGUUUAUAAUUCUCAAUCUUAUCUUAUUGCAAGGAUUGUUAUAACUAACAUUACACAUAAUUAAUAUAUGUUAUAUAUUAAGCAUAAUGCAUAAACAUGGUGCAUGGAAACCUUUGAGAUGUGUUGCCACCACAGUAAAUGCUUUAUGUGUUACUGGAACUCAUCUUUUCUGCAGUUAUAUUCAGUCAAAACACACAAAUACAAUUGCUUGUACAACGUAGUGGUGCUUGUGUUUCAAAUUGGAUGGCUCCAAAGAGGGACAGGCUGCAAAAUACGUGGGUGCAACUCCACAACUGGUAUCACAGCCUCUCAAUAAAUGUCAGUGCUGGUUUGUACUCCUACACCAAGUCAUGCUAAUCCUUCACAUCCUUCCCAAGGUUCCCUUCUCCUCUUCCUAAAAGGUGCACCACAAACCAUGAACCUUACAGCAAUGCUGAGAACCACAGCUCCUGGCUUCAGAGGGGAUUAUUGCACACAGAAGAAAGUACAAUGUGAAACGGCAGGUAUGAAAUCGCGUGUGGCAUCUCCUGUCUGAUGAGGCUAAGCCAAGGUGAAUAGCUGAGGUGCAGCUGCCUCAGGCUUGUGCUGCAGAAGCCAUAGGUGCAGGAAGCAGUCAAUGCCUGCCACUGAUGAAGCAGGUGGGACAGGCAAAGGGAAAGGUUUCAUCUGCCAUAGAUUACAAU